GGGCACUCACAGAAAAACCUGCAGCCCAUGGUGAACUCUUUAUAAAGACGGUGGAGCAGAGUCACAAACCCCAUAUUUCCAGGUUCCUGCACAAACUGAAGGAAUGGUGGCAAAACCAGCCCUGCCAGAACACAGAGGAGACAGAGGCUCUGCAGCUGCUACUGAUGCCCUGGAGUGCCUACCUAGAACAGAGACUAGGCAAGAUUAAGAGACUAAAAAUCUUCAGGUUGUUGCCUGGCUCUGCUACCCUUCACUGUUUUCAAUUUAAACUGCAGUGAUUGUAAAGAGAAGAGAAAAUAAACCAAAU